rnacentral:rRNA from 1 species
GGGACCCGUCUUGAAACACGGACCAAGGAGUCUAGCAUGUGCGCGAGUCAUUGGGACUCUAACGAAACCUAAAGGCGUAAUGAAAGUGAAGGUUCGCCUAGCGCGAACCGAGGGAGGAUGGACGGUCGAUCGUGGCCGCCCCGCACUCCCUGGGCGUCUCGUUCUCAUCGCGAGAAGAGGCGCACCAAGAGCGUACACGCUGGGACCCGAAAGAUGGUGAACUAUGCCUGGUCAGGACGAAGUCAGGGGAAACCCUGAUGGAGGUCCGUAGCGAUUCUGACGUGCAAAUCGAUCGUCGGAACUGGGUAUAGGGGCGAAAGACUAAUCGAACCAUCUAGUAGCUGGUUCCCUCCGAAGUUUCCCUCAGGAUAGCUGGCGCUCGCUUCUCGCGAGUCUCAUUCGGUAAAGCGAAUGAUUAGAGGCAUUGGGGUCGAAACGGCCUCAACCUAUUCUCAAACUUUAAAUGGGUGAGAUCUCCGGCUUGCUUGAACUGUGAAGCCGCGAGAUAUCGGAUCAGAGUGCCAAGUGGGCCACUUUUGGUAAGCAGAACUGGCGCUGUGGGAUGAACCAAACGCCGAGUUAAAGCGCCUAAAUCGACGCUUAUGGGAUACCAUGAAAGGCGUUGGUAACUUAAGACAGCAGGACGGUGGCCAUGGAAGUCGGAA